CUUGUUGGUUCCAGAUGAAGUGCUAAGUUGGAUGUAUCAGUGUGGGUUUUCUUGCUGAACCAUGGAAGUGUUAUUUAUUUGAGCUUUAAUUAUUGGGUGUUCGAGUCCAUUGUGGACAGUUUGUAAUCAGUGUUGUCUCAGAAGGUGCUUGCGAACUUUACUAAAGGGGUGUGCCGCGUCUGAAUUGUAUAUUUUUUGAGUGGG
rnacentral:misc_RNA from 1 species